GACGAACGCUGGCGGCGUGCUUAACACAUGCAAGUCGAACGGAAAGGCCCUGCUUUUGUGGGGUGCUCGAGUGGCGAACGGGUGAGUAACACGUGAGUAACCUGCCCUUGACUUUGGGAUAACUUCAGGAAACUGGGGCUAAUACCGGAUAGGAGCUCCUGCGGCAUGGUGGGGGUUGGAAAGUUUCGGCGGUUGGGGAUGGACUCGCGGCUUAUCAGCUUGUUGGUGGGGUAGUGGCUUACCAAGGCUUUGACGGGUAGCCGGCCUGAGAGGGUGACCGGCCACAUUGGGACUGAGAUACGGCCCAGACUCCUACGGGAGGCAGCAGUGGGGAAUAUUGCACAAUGGGCGGAAGCCUGAUGCAGCAACGCCGCGUGCGGGAUGACGGCCUUCGGGUUGUAAACCGCUUUCGCCUGUGACGAGGCGUGAGUGACGGUAAUGGGUAAAGAAGCACCGGCUAACUACGUG
rnacentral:rRNA from 1 species